AAUUAUUACUAAUUAAUAUUGUUAGUUUAUUAACGUCAUAUUAAAAAAUAACCAUUUGAAAAUAAAAACCAUACUCCCAAUUAAAACCGAAAAAGCAAAUGCGAAAUAAAUAAUAUAAUAUUCCAUUAACGUUUUGUUAAUAUCUUUUAAAAAGGUUUUUUAAAUAGCGAUUAAAUUGGAAUAUUAAAAAAACGACAUCCGGCCGCGUUAUUACGUCCACGUAUAUUAAAACCCCAGUUUUACGUUGGAAUAUUAAUAUUUUUAUCGAAUUGGUUUAAUUUAAAAAUAUUUCAAAAAACGUCAAUUUUAUUAGCGUACGAAAUUCGUUAUUUUUAUAUUUAUAUCCGGCAAAACUUACAAUUAUAUUAAAAUAUUGCGUUUGGGAUAAAUAAUUGCAUUUCUUUGGUCGAUCCCGCACUAUUUAUAUAUUUGAGACUAUUAAAAAACCUUUCUUUCUUAUAACGUGUUUUGUUUUCAAUGUAAAAAUAACAGUAUCGUUUUAUAAUUUGUAAUGCGGAAUGUGAAAUAUUACCAGAUCGUUAGUAUAAACAAAAGUAAAAACCGUUUUACUAGUAAAAAUGUAUAAUUCGUAAUUUAAUGGUUCGAAAUUAUAAAUUUUAAAUAUUUAUUCCAAUUUCUUUUACCUAAAUUAGAAUAAUUUUCGUCUUCCGUAUAAUAUAUGUAAUAGGCGGUAUAUCUUACUUUUAUAACAAUUUUUCGUCCCCGGUGGAAACCUUAUAAAUAUAGUUUUUUGAAAAAACGUUUAUAAAAGCGUUCGUAAUAUUAUAUUAAACUAUUUCGAAAUUUAAACGGGUAAUUUAUAAUAUAAGUAAAGGAACGACCGGCAGGUAAACGUAAUUGCGUAGGUCUUUCGUGCGUUAUUUAUAUUUUUUAAUUGUUAUAUAUUACGAAUCGUAUUUUGCACUAAACAAAAAUACUGUAUUUAUUAGAUUUAAAUAUGUAAAUAUAUUUAUAAUUAAAUAUUUGUAAAUCUUUUGUAUUAUUAAAAUUAACAAUUUCUUAUAUUAAUCUUUUUCGGUGGUUUUCGAAAUUAUUUAAUUUGAUUUAUAGAAUUGUUUUCGUAAUAUAUAAAUAAGUAUUUUUUGGAAUAAUUGGGCGGUCUUCGGAGGUUUCGCCUGUAAAAUAUUUUAUUAAUAAUCUUUUUUAAAAUUUCCGUUUGGGUAAAAAAACCAAAAAUCCCUGUUUUAUCCGGGAUGGAAAUAAUUGUUUUUUCCCGGAUUAUUAAUUUGUUAAACCGGCUAAAAUAUGGGUUAUUUUAAAUUUAAUCGUCCCCGUUAAUUUAAUUAAAUUUCCAUGAUAAAAAAUACCGUUACUAACUAAUUUACUUAAAAUUGUGUUUUUUUACCGGGUAAUUUUGCGAAUUGUAAACGGUUAAUAAAAAACGUUGAAUGGCGAUUCAAAUAAGAUGGGAAUAGAAUAAAUUUCCGUUUGGUAAGCAACAUUUUGGAAAUAAUUAAGUUCUUCAGCGCCGUUUUAAUAUAAAUGUAUUUCUUCUUUUGCAAUUAAAAAUUAUUUGUAAACAAUCUCCAUUCUUUUAUUAAUUAUUAGUACGUUUGUAAGUAUAUUUUCCGCCAAAUUAAUGUUUUAAAAUAUAUUUUCCGGGCGGCUUAUAAGAAACCGCUCCGUUUUACACGUUAUUAUUUAAUUUAAAUGGUUAUUUUCUAUAAAUAAAAGUAAAUUAACCUAUUAUUUAUUAGCGGAAUUGUUCGGAUUAUUAGUAUAAUAUUUAUUUACGUCGAAAUUUACGUCCUGUAAUUCGAAAGUUUUCCUAAUAUUAAAUGGUUAAAUACGGUAAAUACCAUUUAAUAAAUACCUAAUAAAAAACCCGACGUGCGUUUUUGGUUGAAAUCUUAAUAAUUAAUUUGUACCAAAUUGCGCUAUUAAAAUUAUAAUAUAUAUUUUGCAAUUAUAGGUACGCAAAUAAUUAUAUAACGGUUUUGAAUUUUGUUAAAUUCCAUCAAGUUUAUUAAUAACAGAUUUAAAACGUUUGUUAAACAAUUCUUAAUAAUAUUAAUAUUAAAAUAUUAUAUUAUAAAACCGAAAAAGGUAUUAACUAUUUCGCGUAUUAAAACGUAGCGCAAAUUUGCCUCAAUUUAUAUAUAACAAAUCCGUUAUAUAAAUUCGCCACCCACGCGUUUCGCACCGUUAUUUUAUUUUAAAAUAAUAGCGGUUGCAAUUUCAAACGUAAUUAUAUAUUAUUUAAAAUAAGAUGUAAAAUAUUAAUUUGAAAACGUUCGAUUUAUUUCCAAAAUUUGAUAUUGUAGAAUUAUAACGCGCAGUUAAAAAUUUACGGAAAUUAUCAAAAGAUUUCAAAAUCCGUAAUUUUCUUUUUAUAUUAUAUUAAUAUACCUAUAUAUAACCGGAAUAUUAAUUUAUAAGAUAAAAGAAAUAAUUUGUACUUGUAAUAUUAUUUCAAUUAUCUUUAAAAUAUAUUAUAUUUACCGCCAACGUUUUUCUAUACCGGGUAAAAGGUUUUUGGCUUUGCGUAAUAUAUGCUUUUAUAUUUUAUAAAUACCGGAAAUAGUAUAUUUUAUUAUAUCCGGGCUGGUAAAUUUCUAAUUUAGCGCGCCGGGUAAUAUAUUUUGGAACGCGUUGGAUUUUGCGUAACCCACACGUAAAUAAUAUAUAAUGGUAUUAUUUUUGGGGUUACGUUUAUUUUAUUUGGAAAAUUACAGUAUUAAUUUGGUAAGUAUAACGUUGCCAAAAAUUUGUAAAAACGAAUUUCCGAACGUAUAAUAACCGUAUUAUAAUAUAAACCAAAUUAUUAUUUCGUUAAUAUUAUUUUGUAAAGUAUUUUGUUGGUUUUUUUAAUUUAUUACCAGCUUUUUAUCCCCAAAUAUUAUAAUAGUACCACGUGAUAUAUAAAAUAAUAUAUGAAAAUAAUUUACCCUAAAUUAAUAAAUUUGCUUUUUUUAAUUCCAAUAAUUAUAAUCGAAACAUCUCCCAGUUUUUAAGUUAAAAGUAGUUUUUGGCUGAUUUAUAUGGCGUUUUCGGUAAUAAACAGUUUAAAAUUUCUAAACCGGUAAGAAUUGUAAAAACGUAUAAAGUAAUACCCGAAUUAAAAAUUACCAAAUUUUGAAACGUUAUUUUAAAUACGUAAACGGCGUUUAAAUUUAUUUGGUAGGUUAAAUAUUCGAAUGUUUGCGCAUUUUAAUUGUACGGAUCCUGGUUUUUAUAAAUAACGUUUUAAUAUAAUAAAACGCCGAAUAAUUACUGCUGGGGGAUUUGCUUAUAUAAUAUAAACGUUUAAAUUAUUUAUACGGCGUUUAAAAACGGCGUUUGUUCGCAUUUCACAUUUGAAAAUUGUCGAAAUCGCCUGGUUUACAUUAUAAUAAUCUGGCCGUUAUUUUAAAAAACAUUCAAAACGUUAAGAAAACGUAUUAUUUAUUUUUAUAAACCUAAUAAAAGUAACAAAUUCGAAUAACCGGCGGUAAUUCGCCGGUAUUUAUUCUAUUCUAAUAUUUUUUAUUCGAAAAAACUCGCCCGGAAAGUUUUAUAUUUGCAACGUACGCGUUAUUGGUUUCUGGAUAUCUUUCGUUAUUAAUUUUUGUAAAAACGGAAAUACGAUUUUAAUUUAUUUAUUAUAAGGUAAACCAACGAUUAUACGACGUUUAAAUACCCGAAAGGAAUUAUUAUUAUCGCUAAAGAAAAAGGAAAAAAAGGGGUACGGAAAAGGUUUUGGCGGCCCUCCCUCCUUUAUAUAUAACGUAAAUUAUUACGUAGUUCUUAUUAUUCUUUAUAUACGGAAAUACGUGCAAUUAACACAAAUCCGUAGUAUAAAGUUUUCCUCCCGGUCCGGAAAUUAUUUACCCCGUGGUCUUUCCGCCCCGAAACCCGCGUUUUUAUUUUACCGUGUCCCCCUCCCCCAAAUAAAAUCCCGUUCGGCGGUUGUUUUAAAUCGCGGCGAGGGGUGCGUAAAUUACCCCGUUAUUUCCCCGGAAACGCGACGUAAAGUUCGCGGCGGCGUAAUUAUAUCCGCGUAUUUGUUUUAAUCCCGUAAUUAUAUAUUGUCGGUUUAAAGGUAAUUUUAUAUUUCGGACGCUUUAUAACCGGUGCGGUUAUUAUAUAUUACCGGACAAUAUUAUAUAUUUGUCGCGUUUAUCGUUUUUUUUAUAAAUUAAAAAAUCGCGUUACGUUAUCGGAUUUUUCCCCCCCCAAUUUUACGCGCCUUUGUUUUUGUUUUAUUUUAUUUUUAUUUUGUUUUUAUUUUGUUUUUAUUUCGCCUUUUUUUAUUUUCGUCCCGUUUUCGCUCCGUUUAUAUUUCGUUAUUUUUCGUUUUAUUCUGUUUUUUUUUCGUUUUUAUUUGCCCCGUUGCGUCGUUUCCUCGUUUGCGAUUUUACCGCGGACCGUUAAAAAAACCCUAUUUUUCUAUAUUUUUGCCGUAUUUGUUCUUUUUUCCCCCCAAAUCAUUUUUCUUUUAUAAAUAUUUUUUUUUCGUUAACGUAAUUGUUUUUUCGUUGGUAUUUUCGCCGUACCCUGGUUUUUUUUACCAAUUUCUUUGCGUUACAAUUACGUUUACUUUUCCGUCGUUAUUAUAUUCUCGCCUAUUUUUAACCGUAAUUUUAAAUAAUCCGGUCGAAACGUUUUUUUUCCCCGUCGUUAUUAAUUUUGGCCAAUUUAACCGUUUUACUUUUCGCAGUACCGUUAAUAUUUUGAUUAAUAACCCCAAAGCUUUUACAAUAAAUUGCUUUAGCGUUAUUUUAAACGCGGUUUUCUAUAAAGCGUGGUUAUAAUAUAUCCAUCGCGUUAUUGGUUUAAAUAUUCAAAAAUAAUUCCGACGACGAAAAAUACACCGCGUUUAAAUAACGUAUCCCGGUUUGUUUAUUUUAUGUUAAAUUUGCCACAAUUAUUAAUAUUUUAAAUUAUCGCUUUUACCCUACCGGAACGGUUUGCAAUUGGUAUAAUAAUAUAAAACUUCACUUUGCAAUUACACCAAAAAAUUAUAAGUUCGAAAUUAUUUUUUUGUUAUCAAUUAAAUAAUUUAUAAGGUAUUAUAAUUGGCGGACGUUAUAUUAUUAUUUUUAAAAUAUUCGCGAAAUAUAACGUUAAUAAUAAAACUAUUUUUUCCGUAAAUUUUGACCGGCCCCGGGGUUUUUAAUAUUUUUAUUAUAUUUAAUUACGCGUAAAUAUUUUAUUUAUUAAUUCUGUUAUUAAAAUAUAUAAAUAUAAAACGCGUAAUAGUUUUGCGUUACGUCGUCGCGGAUCCGCGGUAAUAAAUUUUCUUUUCCGUAUUUAUUAUUAUAAAAAUUUUUAGCGCGAUAAUCGCGGUUGGACGGUAAUACUUGGAAAUUAAUCCGUCGUUAAUACGAAUAUUUUUAACGGGUUUCGAACGCGUCCAAAAUAUUAAUAUCCGUUAUAAAUUCCAACAGUUUCCGCGUGGGGUUAUUAUAAUUUUAUUAUUUUAUUAAUAUUUAGCGGCCGUUUUUUUCCCCUCCGGUUUUUCGCGUUUCAAAUUGCUUUUACGGCCCAAAUGUUUUUCGGGUUCGUUAAUUUUUUUUAUUGGGUAAAAUUCGGGGCCAAAACGAAAAUCGGUCCGAAUUUAAAAUAAUAAUAAAUCGUUAACGGCCUAUUCUAUUAAUUUAUAUGGAAAAUAAAAUAAGUUUUCUACGGAAUAUUUAAUAUAAUUAUAAGCAAAAUUAAUACCCUUAUUAUCCGGUAUUUCUCGUAAAUAUUAUCGAAUUUCUUUAUACGGACGGUUUAUAUAUAUAUAUUCCGUAAAUUAAAAAAUAUUUUGUCCCCGACCCGGAAUUAUUAAAUUAGACGUUAUAAUUUAUUCGCCCCGGGUUUUUGACGUUAUUAAAUAUAUAUAAUAACAGUUUGGAUUAAUUUGAAAUUUUCCCGUAAAUAUUCCACAAAUAACGUAAUUUUGGUUUUCGGGUUUUAACUGGAAUUUUAAAAAAGGAAUUCGGUAUUGUUUUAAUAAUAAACCCCAGUAAGAAUACAUUUGGAUUUAUUUUUAUAACGGAUAAACUCCGGGUAUUAAAAACCAAUUAUACGGUCCCCAAAUAAUUGGAUCGAUUUUUUUAAUCGAAAAUUAUAUAAAUUCUAAAAUCUUAUUAAAUUUUCAAUUAGCCCGUUUUGUAUUUCCGUUAAUUUACGGAUAAUUAAAAAUAGAAAAUAAUUAUUUUAUUUCCAUCUAUUUGCAAGAUUCCAUCCAAAGAUUUCCCAUCCAAUAGGAAGUUUUAUUAGAAAUAAUUUAAUUAGAAAAACUCCAAAACUAUUUUUAAAGAAAUAAAAAUUAU
rnacentral:sRNA from 1 species